UGGCUGCAGCGCUGGAGGUUCUAGGGUUCCCUGCUGCUAAUUUUUUUGUUUUGGGUUAUCGGGCUCAAAAUUUGGGGCUGGGUUUAAUGGGUUUGGUUUAGGUUUUAGGCUAGGCUAAUGUUUGGGUAAUUUAGGUUAAAAUGAUUUGGGCCACGUUGGGCCCAUGUAUUUGGACUGUAGACUUUUAAACUUUGGUUUGGUUUAUUUUAUUUUAUUUUAUAUUUUUGUUUAUUUAUUUCUGAUUUGGGCCGGGCAAAUUUGGAUUAUUACAGCUGCCCCUCUUUACUCAUUGUCGUGUAACGGGAAUGAAGCAAAAACUUUAGUAAUGACCAAUUUUGCCUGGUCGUGUUGGACCUCGGUGCACUUCUUCUUCAAGUAGCCUCAUUCCAUCCUACUGCAUCUUCAGAGGUAUAGGAAUUGGUGCCUCGAUCCGCUCCACCGCGACGUCGGAGAG
rnacentral:lncRNA from 1 species